rnacentral:lncRNA from 1 species
GAAUAUGUUGAAGUGGAGCUUAAGUGGAAUAGUAUUCUUUUGGUGUUUCCACGGUUUGAUUGAGAAAGGGCAGAUGGGCCACACUGAAAAUUGAUGAAUGUGGUCUCAACUCUGGAUGGGCUCGAAACUCCAUGUGGAUGACUGUAUCCCAUUAAGUUAAAAGGCAAAAGAGUUGACAAUUUGGACCAUCUCUAUCAAUAUUUUUGUUCAGUA